GUGGCAUCCGAGUAGUUAUUCAUGUCCCGUUGGACAUGCCAAUACUUGCUUUCCUCAGAAAUAGGAGUGGAAAAAAUAUCUAGAAGGCUAGCUGGAUGAAUGCACCAGUAUACCAUCUAUUAGUCAUCAGAAAGGAUUGAGGUUUUGUAAAUGAUUAUCAAAUAAUGUAGGUUCUGCUGUCUUGAAACAAUAAGGACUUCUAUUACCAGGAUGCUAUUUAUAAAAGAUGAAAUGGUGAUAGAAAUUAUGUUGCAAAAAGUU
rnacentral:lncRNA from 1 species